AGAUUCAAGAAGCAGGAGGGCGAGUGAUAUACUGGGAUGGUCGAAGAGUCUUGGGCGUUUUAGCCACGUCACGAGCCAUCGGAGACAAUUACUUGAAACCGUACGUGAGCUCGGAGCCGGAAGUUACGGUGACGGAACGGAUUGAAGAAGAUGAGUUUAUGAUUCUUGCUAGCGAUGGGCUAUGGGACGUAGUAACAAAUGAUGCGGCGUGUGCGACGGUGCAAAUGUAUCUUAACAAAAAAGGUGGACGUGGAGGAGGAAGGCGGAGAGAAGCUACGGAGUGUGAAGAAAGGAAGGAAGAGAAGGUGGUGGGGUCAAGGAAGAACGGGAAGAGAGGAAAGAUCACGUACAAAGCAUGAAGUUAGGAAUGAUGUGUUUAGCUAUUUUCUGUUCUGUGAACAGGCACCUGCAGCUGAUGACGAUGAUGACAUGGAUCCUUUUGGUGAUGAGACUGAGGAAGAAAAGAAAGCUGCAGAGGAGAAGGAGGGUGCUAAGGACACCAAAAAGCCCAAAGGUUCUCAUUCUCUAUGGUUUGGAGAAAAAAAAACAUAGAGAAACUGAAGGUUAUCAGUAUCAAUCUUUCUUGAGACGUUUGGAAAGGAAGGAGAGAUAGGCUGCGAAACUUGGGUUAUGACAAGAUAUUCUGAUAGAAUAUGCUCUCUAUGAUGAAAGACUUAACGGAAAAAAAGGUAUGUCCAUAUUUUGAUCUUCAGUUUCAUUAAUUUUUUUUUUAUUAUAUUCCUUGGUUCAUGUUGGGUUUGCUGGCAAGGGAGGAAGAUGAAAAGCGCAGCUUAUCUCACAAGAAGAUUGAUGAAAGCUGAGACAGAUGUGCAACCUGAGGCAUUAAAAGUGGUAAACCUCGAAGAUUUGUAUGGCACCCUAGCUACUACACUGGUAAACUUCUAAGAUUUGUAAGUUGAAAAUUGGAGUUUCUUUUUUUUUUUUGGAUAUACAAAGGGAGAAUGCUCAUCUUUUAUUAGAGCUAAAAUUUAUAAAUUUGUAAAUGUCCAGAUGACAAUGAUACAUUUUGUCAGAAGAUUUAUGUUAUACUAUCCCCUGUUUUCAUGCGA